rnacentral:rRNA from 1 species
CCUACGGGAGGCAGCAGUGGGGAAUAUUGGGCAAUGGGCGCAAGCCUGACCCAGCAACGCCGCGUGCAGGAAGAAGGCUUUCGGGUUGUAAACUUCUUUUCUCAGGGUCGAAGAAAGUGACGGUACCUGAGGAAUAAGCCACGGCUAACUACGUGCCAGCAGCCGCGGGAAUACGUAGGUGGCAAGCGUUAUCCGGAUUUAUUGGGUGUAAAGGGCGUGUAGGCGGGAGCGCAAGUCAGAUGUGAAAACUCAGGGCUCAACCCUGGGCCUGCAUUUGAAACUGUGUUUCUUGAGGGCUGGAGAGGCAAUCGGAAUUCCGGGUGUAGCGGUGAAAUGCGUAGAUAUACGGAGGAACACCAGUGGCGAAGGCGGAUUGCUGGACAGUAACUGACGCUGAGGCGCGAAAGCGUGGGGAGCAAACAGGAGUAGAUACCCCAGUAGUC